AUUGAACGCUGGCGGCAUGCCUUACACAUGCAAGUCGAACGGUAACAGGUUAAGCUGACGAGUGGCGAACGGGUGAGUAAUAUAUCGGAACGUGCCCAGUCGUGGGGGAUAACUGUUCGAAAGAGCAGCUAAUACCGCAUACGACCUGAGGGUGAAAGCGGGGGAUCGCAAGACCUCGCGCGAUUGGAGCGGCCGAUAUCAGAUUAGGUAGUUGGUGGGGGAAAGGCCCACCAAGCCAACGAUCAGUAGAUGGGCGGAGAGGACGACCCGCCACACUGGGACUGAGACGCGGCGCAGCGUCCUACGGGAGGCAUCCGUGGGGAAGUUUGGACAAGGGGCGCAGGCCUGAUCCAGCCAUGCCGGGUGCGGAAAGAAGGCCUGCGGGUUGUAAACCGCUUUUGUCAGGGAAGAAAAGGUUCUGGUUAAUACCUGGGACUCAUGACGGUACCUGAAGAAUAAGCACCGGCUAACUACGUGCCAGCAGCCGCCGUAA
rnacentral:rRNA from 1 species